AAGCUCGUAGUUGAAUUUCGGGUUCGGUUGACUGGUCCGCUUCGGCGAGUACUGGUCUGACCGAACUUUUCCUUCUGGGGAAUCAGUGUGCUCUUUAUUGGGUGUGCUGGCGAUCCAGAACUUUUACCUUGAAAAAAUUAGAGUGUUUAAAGCAGGCUUAUGCUUGAAUACAUUAGCAUGGAAUAAUAGAAUAGGACUUUGGUUCUAUUUUGUUGUUUCUAGGACCGAAGUAAUGAUUAAUAGGGAUAGUUGGG
rnacentral:rRNA from 1 species